CACGUAGGGUGCGAGCGUUGUCCGGAAUUAUUGGGCGUAAAGAGCUCGUAGGCGGUUUGUCGCGUCUGCUGUGAAAACCGGAGGCUCAACCUCCGGCCUGCAGUGGGUACGGGCAAACUAGAGUGCGGUAGGGGAGAUUGGAAUUCCUGGUGUAGCGGUGGAAUGCGCAGAUAUCAGGAGGAACACCAAUGGCGAAGGCGGCAUCCUGGACUGGUCCUGACACUCAGGAGCGAAAGCGUGGGGAGCGAUCCGG
rnacentral:rRNA from 1 species